rnacentral:rRNA from 1 species
AUAUCUCGGCUCUUGCAUCGAUGAAGAACGUAGCGAAAUGCGAUACUUGGUGUGAAUUGCAGAAUCCCGUGAACCAUCGAGUCUUUGAACGCAAGUUGCGCCCGAAGCCGUUAGGCCGAGGGCACGUCUGCCUGGGUGUCACGCAACGUCGCC